rnacentral:rRNA from 1 species
UACAGAGGGGGCAAGCGUUAUUCGGAAUUAUUGGGCGUAAAGGGCGCGUAGGCGGCUUGGCAAGUGGAAGGUGAAAUCCCUCGGCUUAACCGAGGAACUGCCCUCCAAACUGCUUCGCUUGAGACCGGGAGAGGUGAGUGGAAUUCCCAGUGUAGCGGUGAAAUGCGUAGAUAUUGGGAGGAACACCAGUGGCGAAGGCGGCUCACUGGACCAUAACUGACGCUGAUGCACGAAAGCUAGGGGAGCAAACAGG